GAUGAACGCUGGCGGCGUGCCUAAUACAUGCAAGUCGAGCGAACAGACGAGGAGCUUGCUCCUCUGACGUUAGCGGCGGACGGGUGAGUAACACGUGGAUAACCUACCUAUAAGACUGGGAUAACUUCGGGAAACCGGAGCUAAUACCGGAUAACAUGUUGAACCGCAUGGUUCAACAGUGAAAGACGGUCUUGCUGUCACUUAUAGAUGGAUCCGCGCCGCAUUAGCUAGUUGGUAAGGUAACGGCUUACCAAGGCAACGAUGCGUAGCCGACCUGAGAGGGUGAUCGGCCACACUGGAACUGAGACACGGUCCAGACUCCUACGGGAGGCAGCAGUAGGGAAUCUUCAGCAAUGGGCGAAAUCCUGACGGAGCAACGCCGCGUGAGUGAAGAAGGUCUUCGGAUCGUAAAACUCUGUUAUUAGGGAAGAACAAAUGUGUAAGUAACUAUGCACGUCUUGACGGUACCUAAUCAGAAAGCCACGGCUAACUACGUG
rnacentral:rRNA from 1 species